GUUUUGGGACCUUUAGCCAAAAUAAGACAUGACCCUCCCCUCGCCAGUAAUAAUUUCCCCUCCCCCAACAAUGUAUCGAUACCUUCUGUACUGGUUUGCGCUUGGCAAAGAUAUACAGAUUCCCGUUGUUUUUUUACAGCCAUGACACCAACACGCCCCCUUCGUACGGCGAACUUUCCCGCUCGGUCGAACUCAGAGGACACCGUGACUGGGUUUUACUGGAGCCUGGCGUUGUUUGGAGUGAAAUCGCAGAUGUAAAGAUGAAAUGGUAAAAGAGGAAGGAGCUACAGUCAGCUGGUCAGAUGAAAAGGCGACAGACACUUGGCAUACUUCAGUUUGGGUGAACUCAAACCUGCAACAUGUCAUACAGCGAGUCAGGCAAUGCAGCGUCAUCCAGCCGUGAAGCCAUUUGGCGGUGGGGAGGAGUGGGCCAUCUGAAGCGGCGGCUGGAAGAAAAGUAACUUAAAACUUGAAAAGGUGCAGUCUUUUCUCUGACCAGAAGUGGACAAUGCUGUCGGUUGGCCGGAGCCUGCAUAGCUGAUCUUUAUCCUGGCUUGUCUCAGGCUGGAGGUGAUGAUGCCCACAGCGGCCAGAGAUUGAUGGGGGGCCAACACAAGCGGCGAGAAUGAGCUCUGGCCUUUGAAGUCGUCCACAUGGAGGGAAAUUGAUAUAUCAGUUUAAGCCCUGGACCCUAUUAAAGGAGCCCCUGUCAGGUUAAUGCGAUAGCCUCCAUGUUACCCCCAGACCCAUUCAGGUCAGCCCUAAUUCCUGCCCCCGCUCUCUGCAAUCUCAUUUUAGUUUCCCAUCAGUAAUGUUUUUCCAUCAGAGGAGCUCCGCUAGGGAGUAUAUCACGCAGUCAAACACUGGGCCAUCUCUCUCCCAGAGUCAUUUAAACCCCCAGCCAGCACGUUAAUCACCAGCCAGAGAUUCCCAUGGUUAUUUGUACAGGUUGGACAGUCUUUAAAGUGGGGUCUGUAGAAGAAUACACCUCCCUAGACAGCACUCUUGCGAGGCCUCAUUCUCGAGACUCCCCUUCACUUGGCUCGUCCUCCUUCAAGUCUGGCCUUCCUGAGGUCUCAGCCCCCCGUCCCCCCUCCCGUGCCCCGUCCCCCAGUCCCCAUUGAGGUGAGCCCUGUGAUCAUUCAUUUUUAAUUGCAUGCAGAAAUACAUUUACAUUAAAAAUGUAGAGCAGUGUCUUUUUAAUUCAGACACGGUGUAUUUAUUAUUAAACCGUAGUCUUGGAGGUCAGCUCACAAGGAAUCAUCUGCCCAUCAGAUUCAGGACGUAGACACCUUGGUUGGCCCGAUCACCCCCAUAUUUUAAACAUGUCUCUUAUUCACUUUGAUUGUCUUCCUUUGUCAUACGUCAUCAGGCUAGUCCAAACUACAGCAUCAAAAAGAAAUGUCAUAUCACCAGAAUAAAACAUGAAUAGCAAAAAUCUGUGUUUUAAAGGGACAGUUGACAGUGGUCAAAAGCUGCAGGAAAUUAGAAAGUCAAUUGAUGAUAUGUAAUGUGUUCUUAAUCUAUAGUUUACAUUAAGAAGUGAACUUUGGCUCUCCUACAGUCCUGUAACCAUCCACUGUGGUUUCGUCGUCUUAGACUAAAGAUAGUGAACCCUCCUAAAUUUGCUACAUCACCUGGGGCUAUAUAAGUUACAAGGACCUUAGCUGCUUUGCAUGUUUUAACACGAGUCAUGUAUCCUUUACAUUA